rnacentral:rRNA from 1 species
UACAGAGACCUCAAGCGUUAUCCGGAUUUAUUGGGCGUAAAGCGUCCGCAGGUUCCUUGGCAAGUCCGAUGUUAAAACUCAGCGCUCAACGUUGAGAUCGCAUUGGAUACUAUCAAGGUAGAGAGUGGGAGAGGCAAACGGAAUUGCAAGUGUAGUCGUAAUAAGCGUUGAUAUUUGCAAGAACACCAAAUGCGAAGGCAGUUUGCUGGAACACUUCUGACACUCAUGGACGAAAGCGUGGGGAGCAAACAGG